rnacentral:rRNA from 1 species
CCUACGGGAGGCAGCAGUGAGGAAUAUUGGUCAAUGGACGAGAGUCUGAACCAGCCAAGUAGCGUGAAGGAUGACUGCCCUAUGGGUUGUAAACUUCUUUUAUAUGGAAAUAAAAUGGUCCACGGGUGGGAUUUUGUAUGUACCAUAUGAAUAAGGAUCGGCUAACUCCGUGCCAGCAGCCGCGGUAAUACGGAGGAUCGGAGCGUUAUCCGGAGUUAUUGGGUUUAAAGGGAGCGUAGGUGGAUUGUUAAGUCAGUUGUGAAAGUCUGCGGCUCCACCGUAAAAUCGCAGUUGAAACUGGCAGUCUUGAGUACAGUAGAGCUGGGCGGAAUUC